rnacentral:tRNA from 2 species
GCCGACGUAGCUCAAAGGCAGAGCAGCUGAUUUGUAAUCAGCAGGUUGCGGGUUCAAGUCCCACCGUCGGCUCCA